rnacentral:rRNA from 1 species
AUUGAACGCUGGCGGCAUGCUUUACACAUGCAAGUCGAACGGCAGCGGGGGCUUCGGUCCGCCGGCGAGUGGCGAACGGGUGAGUAAUGCAUCGGAACGUGCCCAGUCGUGGGGGAUAACACAUCGAAAGAUGUGCUAAUACCGCAUACGUCCUGAGGGAGAAAGCGGGGGAUCUUCGGACCUCGCGCGAUUGGAGCGGCCGAUGUCGGAUUAGCUAGUUGGUGGGGUAAAAGCCCACCAAGGCGACGAUCCGUAGCGGGUCUGAGAGGAUGAUCCGCCACACUGGGACUGAGACACGGCCCAGACUCCUACGGGAGGCAGCAGUGGGGAAUUUUGGACAAUGGGGGCAACCCUGAACCAGCCACGUCGCGUGAAGGAAGACGGCCCUACGGGUUGUAAACUUCUUUUAUACGGGAAUAAAGUGCCCCACGCGUGGGGUUUUGUCAUGUACCGUAUGAAUAAGGAUCGGCUAACUCCGUG